GCUCCCCAGAGAUUUGCUGCUCCAACUCCAGCGUGUCAUCCUCCUCGUUACUAUUCUAAUCCUCAUUACAGGGAGAUGUCCUCGCCCUCAAACACAACACCACGCAGCGCUGUUACACAGCCCUGCGGGAGACAGGGCAUUUUCUGAGCUGCCGGCGAGAGCAGUCAGAGCAUGGGCGGGGGGAGGUGGGGGAGUUGACGCCUCUGGAGUUUCUUGCGAGGGGGGUGCAGCCCCUUCCGGAUGUCAGCUUUUUCUCUCCUCUGUCCUCCAGCUCCUAUUAUUAUCCUCACCAAGGAAGAUGCAGCUGACUGUUUACUCUAGGCCUGCGCCUGCCACCAACUCGUCCAGAGACUUCAGAGCCAGCCCUGCCCUCCAGCUCAUGCUCUUUGCAGCCAGGCACCUGCGGCCGUGCUGGGCACACAGGUUCCCACUGAAAAGGCACGCGUGGCCCAGCUGGGUGUGGCUCAGCGGUUGAGCUUCAACCCAGGAACCAAGAGGUCACCGGUUCGAUUCCCGGUCAGGGCAUAUGCCCAGGAUGUGGGCUUGAUCCCCAGAAGCGGGUGUGCAGGAGGCAGCCAAUCGAUGAUUCCCUCUCAUCUUUUAUGUUUCUGUCUCUCUCCCUUCCUCUCUGAAAUCAAUAAAAAUAUAGAUGUAUAAUUUUAAAAGGCA